GGACAACAGAAAGAGGGCCACUCUCAGGCUCCUUGAUGAAAACUGAAGCCCACUGGAAAAGUGAAGAGAAUCUCUGCAAUAAAGGCACACCAGACCACCACAGUUGCUUUUAACAAACUUAUUCUUGUGACAAGAUGACAUAAUGAAGUGAUAUGAGUAGCAGACACGGGUGGUUGGCCAAAUGCCCAUUCAUGGCUCCUUUCCUUGCCCGGCACCAUUAAGGAGGAGGAACGAAAGCUAAGUACUGACACUCCUAAACAUUCCGACUGUAGAUGUGACUGAUAGUUUGGGCCAAUAACAAGUGAGAAUCUGAGUAUUCUGGUUAGGUUUAUGAUUUCCUGGAUUAAAAUAAAAAUCAAUAUAGUUAGCUUCCUGUGCUGAAGACGGGCGUGAUGCUUAUGGAAGUCAGUUAACAACCACAAGUCCGAAACUCUCAGUGAACUCCCAAAUCAAUAAAGUCAGUUCCCGAGUUCCAGAUUCCUUGUUAUAUAAGGAAAACAAAC
rnacentral:lncRNA from 1 species